rnacentral:rRNA from 1 species
AUUGAACGCUGGCGGCAGGCCUAACACAUGCAAGUCGAGCGGAUGAAGGGAGCUUGCUCCUGGAUUCAGCGGCGGACGGGUGAGUAAUGCCUAGGAAUCUGCCUGGUAGUGGGGGAUAACGUCCGGAAACGGGCGCUAAUACCGCAUACGUCCUGAGGGAGAAAGUGGGGGAUCUUCGGACCUCACGCUAUCAGAUGAGCCUAGGUCGGAUUAGCUAGUUGGUGGGGUAAAGGCCUACCAAGGCGACGAUCCGUAACUGGUAUGAGAGGAUGAUCAGUCAGACUGGAACUGAGAGCCGGUCCAGACUCCUACAGGGAGCAGCAGUGGGGAAUAUUGGACAAUGGGCGAAAGCCUGAUCCAGCCAUGCCGCGUGUGUGAAGAAGGUCUUCGGAUUGUAAAGCACUUUAAGUUGGGAGGAAGGGCAGUAAGUUAAUACCUUGCUGUUUUGACGGUACCAACAGAAUAAGCACCGGCUAACUUCGUG